rnacentral:rRNA from 1 species
UACGUAGGGUGCGAGCGUUAAUCGGAAUUACUGGGCGUAAAGUGUGCGCAGGCGGCCGAGCAAGUCGAGUGUGAAAGCCCCGAGCUUAACUUGGGAACUGCGCUCGAAACUACUUGGCUAGAGUGUGGCAGAGGGGGGUGGAAUUCCGCGUGUAGCAGUGAAAUGCGUAGAGAUGCGGAGGAACACCGAUGGCGAAGGCAGCCCCCUGGGCUAGCACUGACGCUCAGGCACGAAAGCGUGGGGAGCAAACAGG